GCCAUAACAGCUGUCGUCCAUUUGGAUAGCAUAAGCUUGGAAGUUUUUGAGUCGUUCAGUCAGUUUCCUCUUGAUUGUGAGCAAUAGCAUAAAUUAUUUGUUUAACAGUGUUAUCUGACAAAGGUGAAGAAGCCGGAUGUGGAAGUCUUGGACUGGCGUGGUUACACGUGGUCUGCGGUUGUGAGGCCGGUUGGAUGUACUGCCAAAUUCACUAAAACAACGUUGGAGGUGGCUUAUGGUAGAGAAAUGAACAUUAAAUUCUCUGUCAACAGCUCUGGGGGACAUUCCUGCAGUCAGCAUUUCAAUUGUAUGCUCCCUCAAAACUUGAGACAUCUGUGGCAUUGUGUUGUGUGACAAAACUGCACAUUUUAGAGUGGCCUGUUAUUGUGCCCAGCACAAGAUGCACCUGUGUAAUGAUCAUGCUGUUUAAUCAGAUUCUUGAUAUGCCACACCUGUCAGGAUGAUGGAUUAUCUUGCAGGAGGAGAAAUGCUCACUAGCUG
rnacentral:lncRNA from 1 species